UGGAGGAAAGCAGGGGAUCGUAAGACCUUGCGCUUUUGGAGCGGCCGAUGUCUGAUUAGCUAGUUGGUGGGGUAAUGGCCUACCAAAGCUUCGAUCAGUAGCUGGUCUGAGAGGACGGCCAGCCACACUGGGACUGAGACACGGCCCAGACUCCUACGGGAGGCAGCAGUGGGGAAUUUUGGACAAUGGGCGCAAGCCUGAUCCAGCCAUGCCGCGUGAGUGAAGAAGGCCUUCGGGUUGUAAAGCUCUUUCAGCCGGGAAGAAAAGGCUGCGAUUAAUAAUCGCAGUUCAUGACGGUACCGGAAGAAGAAGCACCGGCUAACUACGUGCCAGCAGCCGCGGUAAUACGUAGGGUGCGAGCGUUAACCGGAAUUACUGGGCGUAAAGGGUGCGCAGGCGGUUUUGUAAGUCAGAUGUGA
rnacentral:rRNA from 1 species